UCUAAUAUGGCAGAUAAGUGCAAUGGAUUUAAGCUCCAGAAAUAAAGUCUAUAGCUUUUUUUAGAA
rnacentral:tRNA from 1 species